ACAUAAAUUAUUGUGGUUCAAUAGUGUACUGGGAGAACGAAGAGCGGGAGGCGCUCCGUUUAAUGUUUAGGGAUAAAGUUAGAAGAAGUACUGAAAAGGAAUGAUUGAGUUUGGUGAAGGAAGAUAAAUAAGUAGUGAUGUGUUCGCGUACCUUUUGCAUCAUGGUUUAGCUAGUGGAUUCAUCAGAUUGGUGGUUCUCGAAAUUUAACGAGCUUCCAAUGCCCAGUGAGGCGGAUUGUUUUUAGGCUUUCUAGUUUUAAGUGUGGCAAAACUUUGAUAGGAGGUAUUGGAAGAGGUGAGAUUCCUUUCGUGUUAAAUGAUAGCUAGUUUCUUUAGAGGGGUGUCUAAGCACUAAGGUCAUGGGGCAGGAACGCUUUAGAGGGCGUAGUAAAAUCUAUUACGGUUAAGUAGAUAGGUACUACUGUAGAUGGCUAUUCGUGCACUGAAAGAUAAGUUUCGGUGUAGAAAAUGGGAAUGUAUCAGUAUUAUAGAUGAGGAAGAUGGCUGCGCUUAAAGUUGGCGAUGUUAAUGCAGUUUGUUAUAAAAAGAUCGAAAGCGUUUAGGAAAAGAAAUAAGUGUGAUUGUUAGGAAGUAUAGAGAUAUUAGUAGAGGAUUGUAAGACUUACAAGAGAUAAUGCUAGAAUGAGUAUUAGAAGGACAGUAGCAGGAUGGGUGGUGUCUAAGAUAAGUGUGAUACGUGAUGACCCUGGAAAGUCGCUUAAAAUAGCUGUUCGUUUUUAAAUUGAAGUCGGGUGAAGGAAUUCGGCAAAUACUCUCCUCGCCUGUUUAGCAAAAACAUGGCUCCUUGUAAGAGGAUAAGGAGUCGGACCUGCCCAGUGAUAGAGGAAUAUUAAAUGGCCGCGGUACUUUGACCGUGCGAAGGUAGCGUAAUCACUUGCCUUUUAAUUGGAGGCUGGUAUGAAUGGUUUGACGGAGGAGGUUCUGUCUCCACCUGAGGGGUAGAAAUUGAUUUUUAGGUGAAAAAGCCUAGAUGGAAUAAAAAGACGAGAAGACCCUGUCGAGCUUUAAUGUUUGGGCUGAGUUAGAUGAAAGGUUGUAGAUAUAUAGUUUCAGCUUGGUGUUUUAGUUGGGGCGACCGGGGAAUGUUAAAGAGCUUCCCUUAGUUAAAACAAAGAAGUACGGUUGAUGAUCCAGAAGGGGUUCUGAUUAAAGGGAAAGUUACCGCAGGGAUAACAGCAUAAUCCCUCUUGAGAGUCCGAAUUGAAAGGGGGGCUUGUGACCUCGAUGUUGGACUAAAGUGUCCUGGGGGUGUAGCAGCUCCCGAGGGUUGGUCUGUUCGACCAUUAAAACUUUACAUGAUCUGAGUUCAGACCGGCGUGAGCCAGGUCAGUUUCUAUCUUUUAUUUGUGUUUCUGAGCUUAGUACGAAAGGACCAGCUUAGGCAAAAGAUUUGAGUAGUUGUGAGUGAAUAAAGUGGAGAGUGAUA
rnacentral:rRNA from 1 species